CUCGUGCAGGCCCCGUGGUGCCUCUGUGUGUCUUCUUUCUGCCAACAGCCCCCUGCCCACUCCCUCCCCAGGCCCUGUGGAGUCUUGAGGGCCUGGAGUUUGUCUUGUUUUCAAGGCGUAAAAACAGGCCAGUGUGUGGAGUUCAAUGGGACCCACAGGUCCUGUGAGAUCCAGGCCUGCUGCCUCAUGGAGAGCAACACUGUGCCGGUGUAAGUGUCCCCGACACCCAGGGCAGGUCCCAGGACCAGCAGAGCCUGCCCCUGACCUCCCCCACCACAGGAAGCCCCUGCUGCUCCAGGCUGAGAACUCCACACUGUUCAUCAAAAACACUGUCACCUUCAGCAAGUUCAACUUCUCCAGGUGAGCAGGGUGGGUCCUGGCUGCCCCAGAUCCUCCUUGUCCCCUGCCUGGCCCGACCCCCCAGCCCCACCCCUUCUCAGGUUCAAUGCCUUGGAGACUUGGGACACCAUUUCUUUCAAGCACUGCUGCUGUGACCCAGGCUUCAGCCCCAGUGCCCCGUGUUCCACAUCGGGGACCUCGUGGCCACAGCUGGAGGGGGCGGGGCUGUGGACAUCCAUGUCCUCUGGGAUUGUGACCUGGACGCCGGGACCUCUGACUGCUGCCCCACGACUCCUUCCAGCUGCGGAAGAGGAGCUACAACUUCAGAGUGAGCUGGAUAUAUGUAGAUAGAUUUCACAGGAAACCAUUGGAAAGUAAGUGGCAGAUAUCUGGACACUUACCCUCUCAAUGCUGUCCUGAGAAUGAGGACCUUCCGCAGGUGACCACUGGCCUCUUGUCACACUCAGGAAUCUGACAUUGGCAGAUAAAUCUAAUAUGUAAAUUUCCCCAGCUGUGCCAAUAAUCCUCCAGAUCUUUUUAUUUUCUG